GCUUUAGUGGCGAACGGGUGAGUAACGCGUGAGGAACCUGCCUUUCAGUGGGGGACAACAGUUGGAAACGACUGCUAAUACCGCAUAAUACUUUUGAGUGGCAUCACUUAAAAGUCAAAGAUUUAUUGCUGAAAGAUGGCCUCGCGUCUGAUUAGCUGGUUGGCGGGGUAACGGCCCACCAAGGCGACGAUCAGUAGCCGGUCUGAGAGGAUGAACGGCCACAUUGGGACUGAGAUACGGCCCAGACUCC
rnacentral:rRNA from 1 species